UUAACCACAAGAGCCUCAAACGAUCACUGGGAAAGCCUCGAUUGUUACAGCUCCUCAACAACAACUCGAACAAACUUUUACCAGGUCGAAAUGGAGUUGGUUAAAGUUUGGCCUGGAGGGCUGCAUUAUCAAUACAGGUUAAUUAUUCAGCGUGAGCUACGUCACGAAAGGUUGACGAUUAUUUGGUGACAUUAAGGAAGAUAAAAUGUUCCACCCACUCGGUUAAAACAGCUGUACCCUUCCAGAUAUUCAUUGAGAUGAGAAAUUCUGAAAAUUGUUGAUGUAACUUUGGAAAAAAUAAAUAAAAAAUAGAUGGAAUUAUUUAUUGA